CCUACGGGAGGCAGCAGUGGGGGAUAUUGCACAAUGGGGGGAACCCUGAUGCAGCGACGCCGCGUGGGUGAAGAAGCGCCUCGGCGCGUAAAGCCCUGUCAGCAGGGACGAAAAUGACGGUACCUGAAGAAGAAGCCCCGGCUAACUACGUGCCAGCAGCCGCGGUAAUACGUAGGGGGCAAGCGGUAUCCGGAUUUACUGGGUGUAAAGGGGGCGCAGACGGCGGUGCAAGCCAGGAGUGAAAGCCCGGGGCCCAACCCCGGGACUGCUCUGGAAACUGCAAAGCUGGAGUGCGGGAGGGGCAGGCGGAAUUCCUGGUGUAGCGGUGAAAUGCGUAGAUAUCAGGAGGAACACCGGCGGCGAAGGCGGCCUGCUGGACCGUAACUGACGUUGAGGCUCGAAAGCGUGGGGAGCAAACAGGAUUAGAUACCCCUGUAGUC
rnacentral:rRNA from 1 species